rnacentral:rRNA from 1 species
GAUGAACGCUGGCGGCGUGCUUAACACAUGCAAGUCGAACGGCGAAGGCGGAGCUUGCUCUGCGGGAUCAGUGGCGAACGGGUGAGUAACACGUGUGAAAUCUGCCUCUGACUCUGGGAUAAGCGCUGGAAACGGCGUCUAAUACUGGAUACGAGCUGCGGAGGCAUCUUCAGCAGCUGGAAAGAACUUCGGUCAGGGAUGAGCUCGCGGCCUAUCAGCUUGUUGGUGAGGUAACGGCUCACCAAGGCGUCGACGGGUAGCCGGCCUGAGAGGGUGACCGGCCACACUGGGACUGAGACACGGCCCAGACUCCUAGGGGAGGCAGGAGUGGGGAAUAUUGCACAAUGGGCGAAAGCCUGCUUCAGCAACGCCGCGUGAGGGACGAUGGCCUUCGGGUUGUAAACCUCUUUUAGCAGGGAAGAAGCGAAAGUGACGGUACCUGCAGAAGAAGCGCCGGCUAACUACGUG